CUCCACUAGUUGUCUUGUUGCUCUAUGGGGAAGGCAAGAGGACCAAAUCUUGUGGAAUAUGUUGGAUUUCAGCAUAUAAAAAUGGGAUAUGUAUCGUAUCAAGUAUGCUCAGAAGCAUGUAGGGCCAAGUAUGUCCGGGAACUAGAAAAUUUUUAAGUGGCUGAGGUACAGGAUAACUAAAGUUUAGGAUACUUGAUGUGAGGUGGGGCAAGUUAAAAAAGACAGGUACCAACUGCAAAGAGCUUUUGAGCAACCUAAGAGCUCUAGAAUAUUCCUUGUAUAGUGGGCAUGACAUGGUCACCCCAACUCCAAGCUGUAUGAGAAAUAAGCAGGAGCCGCAGAAAUCAUAUAGGAGGCGUUCUAGAGCCUGGAAGUCUGAGAAGAAGGUGCCAGCAUGAUGGGAUGAGAACCUUCCAGGUUAAAGAUUCUCAUUUUGUCCUCACAUGGUGAAAGAGGCACCCCUGUGAGGUAUGUGUUAUUAACCCAUUUUAAACCUGAGAACACCGAAGCAUAAGAGAAGACCAGGUAAUGUUAAAGAGGACAGAAGAAUGGCUCUAGCUUAACAUUGGAAGGGACUUUGAGCAAGAACAAAUAUAAUAGGGCAACGAUUUUCCCAUUGUUUCCAUACAAAGUACUGUAAUAAGAGUUUAACUCAGAUGAAGUAAUCAUCACCAUCAUCAUCAUCCUGGAUUUUUGAACAUCUGGCACUAGAGGGUUUUAUUUAUGAAUAUCUGUAAUGGUUAUGUGUCAACUUGAAUGGCCAU